GAUGAAGAACGUAGCGAAAUGCGAUAAGUAAUGUGAAUUGCAGAAUUCCGUGAAUCAUCGAAUCUUUGAACGCACAUUGCGCCCCCUGGUAUUCCGGGGGGCAUGCCUGUCCGAGCGUCAUUGCUGCCCUCAAGCACGGCUUGUGUGUUGGGCUUCCGUCCCUGGCAACGGGGACGGGCCCAAAAGGCAGUGGCGGCACCAUGUCUGGUCCUCGAGCGUAUGGGGCUUUGUCACCCGCUCCCGUAGGUCCAGCUGGCAGCUAGCCUCGCAACCAAUCUUUUUAACCAGGUUGACCUCGGAUCAGGUAGGGAUACCCGCUGAACUUAAGCAUAUCAAUAAGCGGAGGA
rnacentral:misc_RNA from 1 species